UAUUCUAGAAUCCAACCCAGCCAUUCAUCUCACGCUCUCCCAUUUCAGCUCCCUCCGCCGAAGCGCUCCUCGCUCCUCCUUCCUCCUCCCUCCUCUCGAGUCGGCGUACCGUGCUCGCGCCUCCCCCAAUCCCGCGGCUCCGCCUCCCCCGGCGGCGCUCCGCGGCGGCUUCGGCCCCCACCCUCUCUCUCGCCCCUACGCACUGACUGGCUGGCUGGCUGGCUGGCUGGCUCGACGCGGUUCGCGAGCUCGGGAAUGGCGGCGGCGGCGGCGGAGAAGAAGAUAACGGUCGGAGUAUGCGUGAUGCAGAAAAAGGUGUUCUCGUCGCCUAUGAGACAAAUCCUGGACAGGCUGCAAGCGUUUGGCGAAUUCGAGAUUAUUAUAUUUGGGGACAACGUCAUCCUGGAAGAUCCUAUUGAGAGCUGGCCGAUUUGUGAUUGCUUAGUUGCCUUUUAUUCGAAUGGAUAUCCCCUCGACAAGGCAGAGGCAUAUGUUGCUUUAAGGAUGCCUUACUUGGUAAAUGAACUGGAACAACAGCACCUUCUUCAUGACCGAAGGAAGGUAUAUGAGCAUCUCGAAAUGUUUGGAAUUCCUGUUCCAAGGUACGCUCUUGUGAAUAGGGAAGUACCAUACCAAGAGUUGGAUUAUUUUGUUGAGGAAGAAGAUUUUGUCGAGGUUCGCGGUGACCGUUUUUGGAAGCCUUUUGUGGAAAAGCCUAUUGAUGGUGACAAUCACAGCAUCAUGAUAUACUAUCCAAGUUCAGCUGGUGGGGGGAUGAAGGAAUUAUUUAGGAAGAUUGGCAAUAGGUCGAGCGAGUUUCAUCCGGAAGUAAGAAGAGUUAGACGUGAAGGCUCAUACAUAUAUGAGGAAUUUAUGCCCACUGGAGGAACAGAUGUGAAGGUGUAUACUGUUGGUCCUGAAUAUGCGCAUGCUGAGGCGCGGAAGUCACCAGUUGUGGAUGGUGUUGUUAUGAGAAAUCCUGAUGGAAAGGAAGUGAGGUAUCCUGUGCUGUUGACUCCUGCUGAGAAGCAAAUGGCAAGAGAAGUUUGCAUCGCAUUCCGGCAAAUGGUCUGUGGGUUCGAUCUAUUGCGCUGUGAGGGACGGUCAUAUGUUUGUGAUGUGAAUGGUUGGAGUUUCGUGAAGAACUCCCACAAAUAUUAUGAUGAUGCUGCGUGUGUUUUGAGAAAGAUGUUAUUGGAGGCAAAAGCUCCCCAUCUUUCCUCAACAAUUCCGCCAAUAUUACCAUGGAAAGUCAAUGAACCUGUGCAGCCUUCCGAGGGACUAACCCGUCAAGGAAGUGGGAUUAUUGGCACAUUUGGGCAGGCUGAGGAGCUGCGUUGUGUGAUUGCUGUCAUUCGUCACGGUGAUAGAACUCCCAAACAGAAAGUAAAGUUGAAAGUUACUGAGGAAAAACUUCUAAACUUGAUGCUCAAAUACAAUGGAGGAAGGCCUAGAUCUGAGACAAAACUCAAAAGUGCUGUCCAAUUGCAAGAUUUGUUAGAUGCAACAAGGACGCUAGUUCCUCGCACCAGACCUGGUCGUGAAAGUGAUAGUGAGGCAGAAGACAUUGAACAUGCUGAGAAGCUUCGUCAGGUUAAAGCCGUUUUGGAGGAGGGGGGACACUUCUCCGGUAUCUACAGGAAGGUUCAACUGAAACCACUAAAAUGGAUUAAAGUUACGAAAAGUGAUGGUGAAGGGGAACAAGAACGUCCCGUUGAAGCUCUCAUGGUUCUUAAAUAUGGGGGAGUUCUCACUCAUGCUGGAAGAAAGCAGGCUGAAGAACUUGGUAGAUACUUCCGGAAUAACAUCUAUCCAGGAGAAGGCACUGGCUUGCUUCGCCUCCAUAGUACAUACCGUCAUGAUCUUAAAAUCUACAGCUCUGAUGAGGGCCGUGUGCAGAUGUCUGCUGCUGCAUUUGCUAAGGGCCUCCUUGAUUUGGAAGGUCAAUUAACACCUAUCCUGGUUUCGCUUGUUAGCAAGGACUCCUCUAUGCUGGAUGGACUUGAUAAUGCUAGUAUUGAGAUGGAAGAAGCUAAGGCAAUGUUGAAUGAAAUUAUAACGACUGGUGUAAGUAAGGGCAGCAGCAAUGGUUCCUCUGAACUUCCCUGGAUGGCUGAUGGGGUCGGAUUGCCUUCGAAUGCUUCAGAGCUUCUACCUGAAUUGGUGAAAUUGACGAGGAAGGUAACAGAACAAGUCAAACUUCUUGCAAAGGAUGAAGAUGAGGAACUUAUAGAGACAAGUGGAUAUAAUUUGAUUCUUCCGUAUGAUCAAGCAAAAGCACUUGGUAAGACCAAUAUUGAUGUCGAUCGCAUUGCUGCUGGAUUGCCCUGUGGUAGUGAGGGCUUUCUCUUGAUGUUUGCUCGAUGGAGAAAACUUGAAAGAGAUUUGUACAAUGAACGCAAGGAGAGGUUUGACAUAACGCAAAUUCCUGAUGUUUAUGACUCGUGCAAAUAUGAUCUUCUACACAAUGCACAUCUUAAUCUGGAGGGAUUGGAUGACCUUUUCAAAGUAGCACAGUUACUUGCAGAUGGUGUAAUUCCAAAUGAGUAUGGUAUUAAUCCAAGGCAGAAGUUAAAGAUUGGAUCAAAGAUUGCUCGCCGUUUGUUGGGAAAGAUUUUGAUUGAUCUCAGAAAUACUCGUGAAGAGGCAAUUUGUAUUGCUGGACUAAAGAGCAAUCAAGAACAAUGUUCAAAAUCAAGCGAGACUGAAUGGGAUGAUCAAGAAUAUUGGAGUGAAGAAUAUAGAAGAUUUAGUGCCAGUGAGAAGUCAAUGGAGCAGGAUGAUGAGGAUGACAGAGAGUCUCAAUAUCGUUUAGACCCAAAGUACGCAAAUGUCAAGACUCCUGAACGUCAUGUACGAACGCGGCUUUACUUCACAUCAGAAUCACAUAUCCAUUCUCUCAUGAACGUACUCCGCUACUGUAACCUGGAUGAGUCCCUUCAGGGGGAGGAUAGCCUAAUUUUCCUUAAUGGCUUGGAGCGCUUGUACAGGACUAAAGAGCUUGAUUACAUGAGUUAUAUCGUUCUGAGAAUGUUUGAGAACACAGAGGUAGCUUUAGAAGAUCCAAAACGGUUCCGCAUAGAGAUGGCAUUUAGCCGAGGUGCAGAUUUAUCUCCUCUUGAGAAGAAUGACAGUGAAGCUACUUCACUGCAUCAGGAGCACACACUGCCAAUAAUGGGCCCAGAGAGGCUGCAAGAAGUGGGAUCUUAUCUGACUUUGGAGAAGAUGGAGAGGAUGAUUCGCCCAUUUGCAAUGCCUGCGGAAGACUUUCCUCCACCGGCGACGCCUCAGGGUUUCUCAGGCUAUUUCUCGAAGAGUGCUGCCGUUCUUGAGCGUCUGGUUAAUCUUUGGCCUUUCUCUAAGCAAGGAAAUGUUAAUGGAGAUGUUUAGGAUGACAACAUAGCUGCGAACGUUGGUUAUCUGCUUUAGCACUUUCAAGCGAUCUGCAAUCACCACUGUUGCUGCCAUUAUCGACACAAGUGAUGUUCUGACUUUGUGACAACAAACGUGUAGACAUGUGAAGCAUGUCAAAGAGGCUUUUCGAUUUUGCAGCUGUAUUCUCAUCGUGCUGAGAAUUUCCUAAUGCUCUUUCUUGAUGUUCAUCCCGCCACGCCAAUUCACAAAUCCAGAAGUCAACAUCACCCAUCGCUUUCGGGCGAGAUCGCACAAUCGAGGGCCGUCGCCAGCAAGGCCUCCCACUUUAAGACAGUUGUGAUGACUUCGUCUUAACAUUCUAUUUUGAAUCAGUCAGAAAAGAUGGCCAGAGAGGUGCCUUGGAAAAGCUGUUGGCCUCAUUGUCUAAUGCCAUGCAAGACCGAUCCGAUCAUGGUUAUGUCCUCUCUCACUAAUGUUGCUUUCGGGUAAACUCGUCAAAAUAGGUCAUAGAUCUAUCUUUUAAUCCAUAUUUGAUGAGU